ACACGUAGGAGGCAAGCGUUAUUCGGAUUUACUGGGCGUAAAGCGCGUGCAGGCGGUUUGGUAAGUUGGAUGUGAAAGCUCCCGGCCUAACUGGGAGAGGUCGUUCAAUACUACCAGACUAGAGGAUGGGAGAGGGAGGUGGAAUUCCGGGUGUAGUGGUGAAAUGCGUAGAUAUCCGGAGGAACACCAGUGGCGAAAGCGGCCUCCUGGCCCAUUUCUGACGCUCAGACGCGAAAGCUAGGGUAGC
rnacentral:rRNA from 1 species